rnacentral:rRNA from 1 species
GAACGCGAAGAACCUUACCCGGGAUUGAAAUGUAGAUGACCGCUCCUGAAAGGGAGUUUUCCUUCGGGACAUCUAUGUAGGUGCUGCAUGGUUGUCGUCAGCUCGUGCCGUGAGGUGUCGGCUUAAGUGCCAUAACGAGCGCAACCCCUGUCUACGGUUGCCAUCAGGUGAUGCUGGGAACUCCGUAGAGACUGCCGUCGUAAGGCGAGAGGAAGGUGGGGAUGACGUCAAAUCAGCACGGCCCUUACAUCCGGGGCGACACACGUGUUACAAUGGUAAGGACAAAGGGCAGCUACCUGGCGACAGGAUGCGAAUCUCUAAACCUUAUCACAGUUCGGAUCGGAGUCUGCAACUCGACUCCGUGAAGCUGGAUUCGCUAGUAAUCGCGCAUCAGCCAUGGCGCGGUGAAUACGUUCCCGGGUCUUGUACACACC